GACGAACGCUGGCGGCGUGCCUAAUACAUGCAAGUAGAACGCACAGUUUAUACCGUAGCUUGCUACACCAUAGACUGUGAGUUGCGAACGGGUGAGUAACGCGUAGGUAACCUGCCUGGUAGCGGGGGAUAACUAUUGGAAACGAUAGCUAAUACCGCAUAAUAUUAAUUAUUGCAUGAUAAUUAAUUGAAAGGUGCAAUUGCACCACUACCAGAUGGACCUGCGUUGUAUUAGCUAGUAGGUGAGGUAACGGCUCACCUAGGCGACGAUACAUAGCCGACCUGAGAGGGUGCUCGGCCACACUGGGACGGAGACACGGCCCAGACUCCUACGGGAGGCAGCAGUAGGGAAUCUUCGGCAAUGGACGAAAGUCUGACCGAGCAACGCCGCGUGAGUGAAGAAGGUUUUCGGAUCGUAAAGCUCUGUUGUAAGAGAAGAACGGGUGUGAGAGUGGAAAGUUCACACUGUGACGGUAUCUUACCAGAAAGGGACGGCUAACUACGUG
rnacentral:rRNA from 1 species